GCUCAGUUGGGUGGAGAGCUUGCCCGCAAGCAGGGAGCUCCAGCUUCGACAUCUAGUACCGCAUCAGUGGGGUGUGGCGGAACGUGCCUGCAGGCCCAACACAGAGCUGCACUAAUUAAGAGUUACUAAAAUAUCUUCAAGGGCGCACACCGAAAGAGAAAGAAACUUGGAUAUAGAAGAGGUUGUGGGCAAGAAUAAUUGGAAACAGGGGACACAUGUCUUCCCCAUCUUAGGGAUGUCACGAAGCACAGCCCUUUGAAGCUUGAAUGUGAAACAUCCCUCCCACAGCCUCACGUUUUCAACACUCGUUCCCAGCUGGUGGUGCUGUUUUGGGAGGCUGUGGCACCUUCAGAAGGUAGCGCUUACUUCAUGGAAGUUAAGUCACUGGGGGAGCGUCUUGGAAGGGGAGAAUCUUGGAAAGUUAUAGCCCCGCUACUGGUUGCAGAGGCUCUCUCUGCCUCCUGCUCCACUGCU